rnacentral:rRNA from 1 species
CACGUAGGGGGCGAGCGUUGUCCGGAUUUAUUGGGCGUAAAGAGCUCGUAGGCGGCUAAGUAAGUCAGGUGUGAAACCCCCGGGCUCAACCCGGGGACGCCACCUGAUACUGCUUUGGCUUGAGUCCGGUAGGGGAGCGUGGAAUUCCUGGUGUAGCGGUGAAAUGCGCAGAUAUCAGGAGGAACACCAGCGGCGAAGGCGGCGCUCUGGGCCGGAACUGACGCUGAGGAGCGAAAGCGUGGGUAGCAAACAGG